ACUGAGGAUUUGGAAUAACAACAAACAAAAAAAAUGCCACAAGUUGAGGGUGGGGUAAUUUAAGGCUGGGAAGUUUUAUGCAGAAUCCGACACGAAUCAUUUACCGUUAGGGAAAUUUUUGAAAGAUUUUCCACCAUUGCCCACAUUGGUUCAGGUUGGCCCUGAAGAGAUGGAGAGUUCCAGGGGGCCUCGUUUUACAGUACAUUACUUUUCUUACAGCAUUUUUCCUGAAAGAAAGUAUCCCUCAUUCAAGAAGC